CGUCUGCAGAGGAAGACACUGCAAAGUGUCAGUGAGGGCAUCUGGGAAUUAAUUUUACCCUAGAGCAGCUGAGCAGGUCUGUUUAGCUCCUACCUCUACAGCUACAAACACAAGAUAACACUAGAAUCGGUCUGAUGCCUUGAACAUUUCACACGAAGGGGUUUUCAAAAUACAGCCACAGACAGACAUGACCAUGUUUCAACAGAUUUUGAGAGACUAGAAGGAGUCUAUUCUUACAAAGCCUCAUACAGAAAAGGGAACAUUCACAUUUUUUCUUUUUCUUUCAGGAGAGGGCAUUAAAACCAUAAUGAUGGUUAUAUAUAUCACAAUGUGAAUGUUCUUAAUACCACUGAACUGUACACUUAAAAAUUGCUAAGAUGGUAAAUUUUGUUACGUGUAUUUUACCAAAAUUAAAAAUCUAAAAACUGACAUAGUUAUAAUUAUGACAUCACCAAUACUGAGCACCUGCUAUAUCACAGACACUAAUGCUAGGCACUUCAGGUGAUCUGCAUCACACCAUCCCACAAACCUGUGAGUAAUUAUCCCUCCAUGGAAAAUCAUUAUUAUCCUUACAUCGAAGAUGAGGACACUGAGGUUUAGAGAAAUAAAAUGGCUGCCUUCACACUGUGUCAUCAUCAGUCAGACAGAGUGAGCUCUGGUCUCUUCCUCUUCCUAUAAAGGCCUGGUUUUCACACAGAAUUGAGAUGCAUGUAAAGAGCUGGAAGAGUUGGGGAGAAAGCACAGUCUGAAGGCACAGAGGAAAGAAGAUGCAAUGGUGGUGCUCCGUGCAGAGGCCUUACACUUGGCACUUCAGACUACAGUUCCUAAUGUGA